CUCAAACUUGCAAUCCUCCUCCCUCAGUUUCCCAAGUCUCUGGGAUUACAGAUAUAAAGAUUGCCAUGCCCAGCUGCUCAUCCUCCCUCCUUCCUUCCCUCCUUCCUUCCUUCCUUCCAUUUAUGAGACAGGGCCUCACUAAAUUGCUGAGGCUGGCUUUGAACUUGUAAGCCUACUGCCUCAGCCUCCUGAGCUACUGGGAUUACAGGGAUGCACCAACAUACCUGGCUGCUCUUUCAUUGCUUACCAUUUUGUAGUCAUUUGGACUUUUAUUUAGCUUCAUAUAACACACGUAGGCUUAAUUGCCAAUUUUUUAAAAAGAAUGUGAUUUUUUUGGUAUAAAGACAGUUUGAACAUUAUAAAAACACAACACAAAUAUUUCUUUAAAAACGUGUAUAAAUUAGCAAUUUAUUGAGGUAAACUUACACAUUCCAAGAAAUGAUCUGGCUCUGAAGCAGGAUAUUCAAACUGCCUAGACUUUUAUAUUAUCAUUUCAAAACCAUUACAUAUAAUAUUUCAAGUGGCACUUCAUAAAAUUAUAAAUAUCAAUCACACAUAAAUUAACUCAAAUCUCAUAUUUAAAUUAUCAAUAAAUUAAAAAUAAUUAAAAUAGUGUCCUAACGCUCAUACUGUCAGUUCUUCGUAGAGAACAUAAGGUAGGUACCCAGUGGACAGGACAUGUUUUCUGACCAUAGGAAGGAAUGCCCAUAAACCAAUAAGCUUAGAUGCCCACACUAUGCUUUCCGAACAGCCCUCAUGGUGAACUGCAGGAAAUCCUCAAGGCUGCUCAAGAUGAGUUGUAUGGUCAUGAUCUUCUGCCAGUCGUUCUGUGACUCCAGCUUUUCCAUCAGGCUGGCAUUUGCAGUUGGACUAGGGAAGAUUAUUUUAUCAGGAUUCUUCACCUGAAGGGGAAAAAAAACAAAAAGGAUUGUAAAAUAUUGCACAAACCCUUUGCACUGGAAAAAUGCUCUGGUCUAUGGGGAGAUAUUUAAAUUUGGGGUGUGUGAGAUUAUUUGAGGCCACCUGUCCUGACUCAUCCAGAUCAGGGGACAUGCUUUUGCUCUGAGUCCACACUGAGCCUUCUACAGCAAUGGAAUUCUAAUUAUCCCUUUGCCACUCUGUCUCCUACCAGAUGGUAAGUAUUUAGAGGACAGCACCACUAUCAUAUCUGUCUUCCCUUCAGUUUCCAAAACAGUGCCUGGCACAAAGUUGUUAUUAAAUAGGUGAAUGAAGAAUUCAUAACUAAAGGGAAUUUAAUGAGUUCUAAAUUUAGUGCUUUUCUCCAGUUUCCCUCUCACUAUCCAUCUGACAUCUGUUGAGAGACCACUGUUCUGGUGGUAUAAAAAGUGGAAAGGUCCUUCAAUAAGUCCACCAACAGGGAGAUUACUAGGCCUUGAAUCCCCCAGGUGUGUGGUCCUGGAUUACUGCAGCAUUGAUAUCAACAGGGAGUUGGUUAGAAAUGCUAAUCUCAGGCCCCACCCAGACCUGCUAAAUCAGAGGACAGCAAAGGAGAUCCUGGAAUUCCUGUGCAGUUAAGGUAUGAAAAGCCCUGCUUUUAGGCAAACAACUAUAAGUGGGAGAGGUAGGAUUAGCACUGAGCAUUUCAUUCUAGGAUUCUUCUCAUUUCACUUUACUUGGAUCACCCACGCUCUGAGCCACCAGCCUUCCAUGAUCUAUCAUUUAAAAGCUAGCUGGUGGUUGCAAAGCCCUUGGUCCUCCUUGGUCCCUAGCCUUUGGCCAUAUCUGUGCAUUAACUCUUUUCCUUAUCUCUUAAGUUAUUAGAAAUUCAUGUUAAAAUCAGUCUGAGGAUAUAGCUCAGUUGGUAGAGUGCUGCCUUGCACAUACAAGGCCCUGGCUUCAAUCCCCAGCACUAUCAAAAACAAAAAACAAAAAACAAAACAAAACAAAAAAACAACAAAAGAGAAAUUCAUGUUAAAAUCCACAUCAUUUAAUGUAGUUUCAAAUACAGAUGUCAAUCUUUACAGAAGAAAGCCAAAAACCAAACAACCAAACAAAGGGUUAGCUAUCAGGAACUAUUUCUCAGUCCCUUUUCAGUCCCUCUACCUUACAUGCAGCUAUCCUUGUCUAAGUAGCCUUGCAUCCUCAGGUGACCUUGACCCUCUCCUCCCUAUAACUGGCCCUGUUGAGAGACAAGGAUGUACUCACCUCUUCUUUCAGGAUCUCAAUGAGGGCUUUGGAACUGUACUGCACAUGUUGGGCUCUGUCAUUGUCCUUGCUAUCCUGAAACUUGUUCUGGAUGUACUUCAGGUAGAUCUGAAACUCCAGAAGCCCAGAGGUGAUUCUUACAAGGCAAUUGUCCUAUAAGAAGAGAAGGAGAAAUCAGCUAUUGUUAGGAGACAACAUCAAUUUGAAAGUUUAAAAUUUCUAUAAUUCAGCAUCUUUUUUAAUUUGGCAUCAAAUUUUGGGACACUGGACAGCAUCAGCUGUCCCAUUUUAAAUAUCUGGAGAAUCAGAGACACCAUAAUCUCCUGGAAGGAGAUACUCCUGGAAGGAGAUGGGUAUACAGAAUGACAUCAGUAGGGAGGCUGGACUGGAUCCUGCCUAGGGCAGCCAGAGAGGAGAAUGGUCCCCCAACUAUCUUACCCAGAAUGAACUAGGUAUCAUUUGGCAUCUGUGAAAAAUCCCAACACAGGAGCCAUCUCUGGCUCUGCCUGUUCAGAGAUAAACUGCCUUUUAAAAAAGCUUUAAGUUGAAUUUCUCAUACAAUUUACAGAAUGUUCUUUACAUCUGUCUCCUUUGUUGCCUCCCUGAUUCUAUAUGUACUCAGGCACUUCAUGCAAGAGAGCGAGCUUUGGCUGAGGAAUAGAAGUUUUUACCCGGUUGUAUCCAGUUUGGAAGCAUCCAUCUUUUUCGGUCAUCUUUGGAAGGUUCAGAUUGUUUUCGGACACUGCAACCUGGCUCUUGAUACAGGUUUCAUCAUUCUUGCACAGCUGGGAAAGAACACCAGAACUGUUAUUAUUUAAGUGCCCCUAAAGCAAACACCACUAGAGGGCUGAUUUGUGUUCUACCACAGCCAAGAAAGUCUAAGAAAAACUAACUCAUAAUUUAUCUGUAUCCUGGCAAGCAAAGUCUAGCGAAAUUAGGCACAAUUGGAUUCAAUCCCAGGCCCACCUGUGACUUCAGUGACUCAGCACUUUAGCAUUUGUUGAGAAAGUAAAGCCGAAGUCAUACACGGUAUUUUAUGAGGGGGAAAAAGAAGCUAAAGGUAUGAUUUUUAAAAACAAUACUUUGAUUACCAGACUAAGAGGCUAGGAUUUAAUAUUCCAUAUUAUCUGUAUUUGUGAAAAACCUAAGACAUUCUGAUCUGAGUUUCCUCAGCUCACACCACAGCACGCAAGCUUUCUGGGGUUACACAGAAGAUAAUACUACCAGUCACCUCAGUAUUUUUAUUUCCUGCUUCUCACCAUGACCAGCUGUUGCAGAAUUGUCUAGCUAACCCCAAAUCUUGUGCAGUUAUUUCUAGGAGUCUCCAGGUGGAGUAUGCAGUGCAUGCAUAAAUGACUCCUUACCAAAAAGUGGCACCUACUAGUUUCCACCUCAUCUGUUCCAGCCCAUUUUGGGGAGAAGGCUGAUCUCAUCUGGUUCCCUGCUGUCUUCCUGCUGGGUCCUUGUGAAUCCUUCUGAAGUCCACAGCCUUCCCUGUGCAUGGCCAUCAUCAUUAUUCAAGUUCCAAAAUGGCUUCUGAGCAUGAAGGUGCCAGACAGUCCUAGAUCUUGUGCUUUUGGCUGCCAAAAAAGGGCAGGUUGUAUGGACCAAGAAAUGUAAAGUUACCCUAUCUACACAUGCACCUGCAGCAUGGAUGUUUCUUUGUAUGGAUGCCUGGACUGGCAUUGGAAGAAACAGACGCUUCAUGUUCCAAAGCAUUA